rnacentral:rRNA from 1 species
AUUGAACGCUGGCGGCAGGCUUAACACAUGCAAGUCGAGCGGAGUUGAGGUGCUUGCACCUUAUCUUAGCGGCGGACGGGUGAGUAAUGCUUAGGAAUCUGCCUAUUAGUGGGGGACAACAUUCCGAAAGGAAUGCUAAUACCGCAUACGCCCUACGGGGGAAAGCAGGGGAUCUUCGGACCUCGCGCUAAUAGAUGAGCCUAAGUCGGAUUAGCUAGUUGGUGGGGUAAAGGCCUACCAAGGCGACGAUCUGUAGCGGGUCUGAGAGGAUGAUCCGCCACACUGGGACUGAGACACGGCCCAGACUCCUACGGGAGGCAGCAGUGGGGAAUAUUGGACAAUGGGCGGAAGCCUGAUCCAGCCAUGCCGCGUGUGUGAAGAAGGCCUUUUGGUUGUAAAGCACUUUAAGCGAGGAGGAGGCUACCUGGAUUAAUACUCUAGGAUAGUGGACGUUACUCGCAGAAUAAGCACCGGCUAACUCUGUGCCAGCCGCCGCGGUAAGAC